ensembl:lncRNA novel transcript
GGAUCGCGGGGAGUGAAGGCUGCGCCGCCGAGCCUGAGUUUCGCUCUCUCUAGAUUAAAUCUGCGCUUCGCAGUCCCCCUUCUUCCAUCCCCCGGGUCUGGAGGGGUCCCUACAGAUCUUAAAAUGACCACACCGCGCCCUCCACCCCAGAUUAACCUUUAAAGACUCAUGUGGCCUGAGGAAGAAGUCCAGAAGAGAAGAAAGAGGAGACAGGGAUGGCUCUUUCUCAAGGAAGGUUGACAUUCAGGGACGUGGCCAUCGAAUUCUCUCAGGAGGAGUGGAAAUGCCUGGACCCUGCUCAGAGGGCUUUGUACAGGGACGUGAUGUUGGAGAACUACAGGAACCUGGUCUCCCUGGGAAUCUCUCUUUCUGAAAUGAGUAUUACCUCCAUGUUGGGGCAAGGGAAAGAGCCCUGGACUGUGGAGAGUGAAGUGAAAAUAACAAAAACAUCAAGUGGUUGGGAAUGCAUCAAAGGUGUGAACACAGAUGUCUCUCCUACACAUAUGAUCAAGGAAUUACCACCAAAAGAGAACAAUAGCACAGGAAAAGUAUUCCAAGCAGUGAUGUUGGAAAGACAUGAAAUCCAUGACAUCCAAGAUUUUUACUUCAGAGAAAUGCAGCAAAAUAUUCAUGACUUUGAGUGUCAGUGUCACAAUGAUGAGAGAAAUUACAGAGAAAUACCUGCAAUUAAAAUUAAAAACAUCACUGGAAGAAGAGAUCAAGGUGAUGGAAGGAAUGCAGGAAAUAAGCCAGUUGAAAAUCAGCUUGAACUAAGCUUUUGGUUGCAUCUGGCUGAACUGCAGGGAUUUCAAAUUGAAAGGAAAAUUUAUGAAUGUAAUCAAAUUGAGAAGUCUGUCACCCGUGGGUCCUCAGUUUCAUUACUUCAAACAAAUCUUCCUUGUGUCAACACCAGCAUUUCUAAUAUAUACAGGAAUGAUUUUAUGCAUCCUUCAUUACUCACACAAGACCAGAAAGCAUACAUUAGGGAAAAACCUUACAAAUGUAGUGAUUGUGGCAAGGCCUUUAAUCAGAGGUCCAACCUUACUACACAUCAGAGAAUCCAUACUGGACAGAAACCACAUAAAUGUGACAUAUGUGGCAAAGGUUUCAGGCGAAUUGCAAACCUAGCAAGUCAUCAUAGAAUUCAUACUGGAGAGAAACCUUACAGAUGUAAUGAGUGUGGCAAGACCUUCAAUCAGACGUUCAACCUUACUACACAUCAGAGAAUCCAUACUGGACAGAAACCAUAUAAAUGUGAUAGAUGUGGCAAAGGUUUCAGGCAAAUUGGAAACCUAGCAAGUCAUCAUAGAAUUCAUACUGGAGAGAAACCUUACAGAUGUAACGAGUGUGGCAAGACCUUUAACAGGAUGUUCCACCUUACUAGACAUCAGAGAAUCCAUACUGGACAGAAACCAUAUAAAUGUGAUAUAUGUGGCAAAGGUUUCAGGCAAAUUGCAAACCUAGCAAGUCAUCAUAGAAUUCAUACUGGAGAGAAACCUUACAAAUGUAGUGAUUGUGGCAAGACCUUUAAUUACAGGUCCCACCUUACAAGACAUCAGAGAAUCCAUACUGGACAGAAACCGUAUAAAUGUGAUACAUGUGGCAAAGAUUUCAGUCAAAAUUCAUACCUUGAAAAUCAUCAGAGAAUUCACACUAGAGAGAAAUCUUACAGAUGUAAUGAGUGUGGCAAGACCUUUAAUAAGAUGACCAACCUUACUACACAUCAGAGAAUCCAUACUGGACAGAAAACAUAUAAAUGUGAUAUAUGUGGCAAAGGUUUCAGGCAAAUUGGAAACCUAGCAAGUCAUCAUAGAAUUCAUACUGGAGAGAAACCUUACAGAUGUAAUGAGUGUGGCAAGACCUUCAAUAGGAUGUUCCACCUUACUAGACAUCAGAGAAUCCAUACUGGACAGAAACCAUAUAAAUGUGAUAUAUGUGGCAAAAGUUUCAGUCAAAAUUCAUACCUUGAAAAUCAUCAGAGAAUUCACACUGGAGAGAAAACUUACAAGUUGUAAUUAGUGUGGCAAAGCCUUUAGCGUGCGCUCAAACCUAACUAAACAUCAGGUCAUCCAUAAUGGAGAGAGACCUUAUAAAUGUAAUGAGUGGGACAAGGCUUUUUUUUCAGAGUUCAAAAUUGUAAAACAUCACAGGAUUCAUUCUGGAGAGAAACAAAACAAAAGUAAUGAAUGUAGUAAGGCAUUUAUUCAAAAUUCAAGUCUGGUGGACCAUCAGAGAACUCACACUGGAGAGAAACCUUACAAGUGUAAUGAGUGUGGUAAAACCUUUAUUGGGCAUUCAAGCCUAACUAACCAUCAGGUAAUUCAUACUGGAGAGAAACCUUACAAAUGUAAUGAGUGUGGAAAGGCUUAUGUGAAGUGGUCCCACCUUAGACAUCAUGAGAGUAUUCAAACUGGAGAGAAGCCAUACAAAUGUACCAAAUGCAGCAAGGCCUUUAGACAAUGGGCGGACAUCAGGAUUCACCAAAAAAUCUAUGCUGGAGAGAAACCUCACAAGUAUGAUGAGUGUGGAAAAACCUUUACCCAGGCCUCUCACCUCACUAUACAUCAGAUUAUCCAUACUGGAGAGAAACCAUAUGAAUAUGACAUAUAUGGCAAAGUCUUCAGUCAAAAUUCACAUUUCAAAAGUUAUCAUAGGAUUUGUACUGAAGAGAAGCCUUACAAAUGUGUGUGGCAAGGUCCUCAGUCAAAAUUCACACCUUGUAAAUCAUCAGAGAAUUCAUACUGGAGAGAAAUCCUACAGAUGUCAUGAAUGUGGCAAAGCCUUUACUCAAGGCUCACGCUUCAUUAAUCAUCAGAUAGUUCAUACUGGAGAGAACUUUCCAAAUGUACUGAAUGUAGCAAGGCUUUUAAGAAUGGCCCUAAACUCAGGACUCACCAAAUAGAUCAUACUUGUAAAUGCAA